NGGGUGCCAAUCCUUCACCGUAGGGAGGCGGAACCGAUUAGGUGGUUCCNCCCCAGACNCCUAAUGGACCCGAUGGGCUUUCAAAGGGCGCUUGGNGAAGUACCGGACUCGCUUAUACACAAUUCGGCGGAGUCCCUGGCAAUGGCCUGGAAUAUGGCCGCGAAGGGGGCUCUUGAUCGGAUUGCGCCUAUGCGACCUCUCUGUGGUAGUAGACCCAGAAGGUCUCCUUGGUUCACUGAGGAACUCAGGGGGAUGAAACGCCAGAAGAGACGUCUAGAGAGCCGUUGGAGGUCCAGUAAAUCCGAGUCUGACCGAACACAACUAAGUUCUUAUAUUAAGACUUAUCUUGUGGCGAUCAAGGUGGCAAGAUCGGCGUAUCUUUCCACAGUGAUUGCGUCUGCGGAAUCUCGCCCAGCCGCCCUGUUUAGGGUGACUCGCUCCCUCCUUGGUGUGGGGGGGGAGGAAGAACCCGUGCAGGGUAGUGCUGAGGAUUUUAAUAAAUUUUUCUCAGAUAAAGUCGCUCAGAUUCGGGCAGACCUGGACUCUGACUGGGAAGCAGUGUUGACUGAAAAUGAUUCAGUCGAGGUGACUGGGUCAUGUCUUUGUCCAGUUAUAUGGGAAGAGUUUGAACCGGUGACGCCUGAUGAAGUGGACAAGGCCAUGGGAGCUGUGAGCUCCGCCACCUGUUUAUUGGAUCCAUGUCCCUCCUGGCUGGUUUCAACCAGCAGGGAAGUGACACGGGGCUGGGUCCAGGCGAUUGUAAAUGCUUCUUUGAGGGAGGGGUCAUUUCCAGCUCCCUACAAGAAGGUGAUUGUGCGCCCCCUCCUCAAGAAGCCUUCCCUGGACCCAACUGUUUUAAACAACUAUCGUCCUGUCUCCAACCUCCCCUUUAUAGGGAAAGUUGUCGAGAAGGUGGUGGCGUUCCAGCUCCAGCGUUCCUUGGAUGAAGCUGAUUACCUAGGCCCGUGGCANUCUGGUUUCAGGCCCGGCUACAGCACUGAGACUGCCUUGGUCGCACUGAUAGAUGAUCUCUGGCGGGCUCGGGAUA
rnacentral:lncRNA from 1 species